GGCGGUGCCGUGGUUCGGAGGCGCUUUGAGGCAUUGAUUGCAUCGUUGUGUUCGGUUUGCAGCGGGUGUACGCUAAGGGAUACGGUGUUCUUCCUGAGUGGUACGGUUCUCGGUGCCGGUAGGGAUGAUAAAGGGUACUCAGAAAAUACGUCUCCCUUAGAGUCCCACAGAAAGGUUCUCAGUGCGAUCUCUAUCAAGGCAAUUCUGAAGCGCUGAGCAGAGAUCUGCCCCCGGGAGGCAGAGCAGAGCCGAUCUGUGAGAGCUGACACGGGAGCUGUGGUGAGGACAGCUGCUCCCCUGCCUCGGUGUGGGACCUGCU